AGGCGAAAAGAACCCCUGUGAGGGGAGUGAAAUAGAACCUGAAACCGUAUACGUACAAGCAGUGGGAGCCUUUAGGGGUGACUGCGUACCUUUUGUAUAAUGGGUCAGCGACUUAUGUUCAGUGGCGAGGUUAACCGUUUAGGGGAGCCGUAGGGAAACCGAGUCUGAAUAGGGCGAUUUAGUCGCUGGGCAUAGACCCGAAACCGGGCGAUCUAUCCAUGAGCAGGUUGAAGGUUGAGUAACAUCAACUGGAGGACCGAACCCACUGUCUUUGAAAAGCCAGGGGAUGACUUGUGGAUCGGAGUGAAAGGCUAAUCAAGCCCGGAGAUAGCUGGUUCUCCCCGAAAGCUAUUUAGGUAGCGCCUCGGACGAAUACCACAGGGGGUAGAGCACUGUUUCGGCUAGGGGGUCAUCCCGACUUACCAACCCGAUGCAAACUCCGAAUACCUGUGAGUACUAUCCGGGAGACACACGGUGGGUGCUAACGUCCAUCGUGAAGAGGGAAACAACCCAGACCGCCAGCUAAGGUCCCCAAGUACCAGUUAAGUGGGAAACGAUGUGGGAAGGCUCAGACAGCUAGGAGGUUGGCUUAGAAGCAGCCAUCCUUUAAAGAAAGCGUAAUAGCUCACUAGUCGAGUCGGCCUGCGCGGAAGAUUUACCGGGGCUAAACUGAUAACCGAAGCUGUGGAUGCGUACCUUUUGGUACGCAUGGUAGAGGAGCGUUCUGUAAGCGGUUGAAGGUGUGUUGUAAAGCAUGCUGGACGUAUCAGAAGUGCGAAUGCUGACAUGAGUAACGACAAGAGGGGUGAAAAACCCCUCCGCCGAAAGAUCAAGGUUUCCUGUCCAACGUUAAUCGGGACAGGGUGAGUCGGCCCCUAAGGCGAGGGCGAAAGCCGUAGUCGAUGGGAAAUCGGUUAAAAUUCCGAUACCGACUCUUACUGCGAUGGGGUGACGGAGAAGGCUAGGCUAGCACGGCGAUGGUUGUCCGUGUUUAAGCGUGUAGGUAGGGGAAUUAGGUAAAUCCGGUUCCUCGUUAAUCUGAGACGUGAUAACGAUCCCUCGGGGCGACCCUUGGGAGAAGUAGUCGAUGCCAUGCUUCCAGGAAAAACCUCUAAGCUUCAGGUAAGAGUCGACCGUACUGUAAACCGACACAGGUGAUCAGGUAGAGAAUACCAAGGCGCUUGAGAGAACUUGGGUGAAGGAACUAGGCAAAAUGGUACCGUAACUUCGGGAGAAGGUACGCUCCUGACGGUGAUGAGACUUGCUCUCUAAGCUGUUGGGAGUCGAAGUGACCAGGUGGCUGCAACUGUUUACUAAAAACAUAGCACUCUGCAAACUCGUGAGAGGAAGUAUAGGGUGUGACGCCUGCCCGGUGCCGGAAGGUUAAAU
rnacentral:rRNA from 12 species